rnacentral:rRNA from 1 species
AUUCCAGCUCCAAUAGUGUAUAUUAAAGUUGUUGCAGUUAAAAAGCUCGUAGUUGGAUUUCUGGCGGGAGCGAUCGGUCCUUCACUCAGUGUUGGAACCUGAUUGUCUCCUGCCAUCCAUGGAGAAAACUUAUCUGGCAUUAAGUUGUCGGGUAGGCAAUCUCCAUCUUUUACUGUGAAAAAAUUAGAGUGUUCAAAGCAGGCUUAUGCCGUUGAAUAUAUUAGCAUGGAAUAAUAAGAUAGGACUAUGGUACUAUUUUGUUGGUUUGUGCACCAUGGUAAUGAUUAAUAGGGAUAGUUGGGGGCAUUCGUAUUUAACUGUCAGAGGUGAAAUUCUUGGGUUUGUUAAAGACGGACUACUGCGAAAGCAUUUGCCAAGGAUGUUUUCAUCA